AGAUCCCCUGCCUGCAGCACGUGCUGAUCUCCAAGGGUGAGGCUGGAUGAAGCCAGGGGCUAUGGAAAGGGAGACUGUUUCAGAGGACUUGACACCAUCUUCAGUAAUUUCUCUGGUUCUUGGCAGCUCCAUUUGGCUGCGUCCCUACCCUGCAUAACCCUCCCAGCUAGUCUACUCCAGGGCAGCAUCCAGCUGGUGACCUGAGAGGGCAGUGGCGCACCAGUCUCCAUGAAGGUUGAGCUCCGAUGGCCAACAGCCAUUUCCACCUUGUGGUCUACAACUCUUCAUCCCGACUGCAUGGAGGUUGGUCUCUCUCUUCAGCUGGAUUUAGGCCACCAUCUGAGCCCCCGGGGUACGUUUUGUCUGACCCUGGCGCCAUUCGAACGGUUCUUCUACAGCAUCAGUUCUCUUUCCUGCCACCAUGUGAAGAAGGACAUGUUUGCUUCCCCUUCUGCCAUGAAUGGACAGGGUCCUGCUGUGUUGCCCAGGCUGGCCUUGAACUCCUGGCUUCAAACAGUCUUCCCACUUGGGCUCCCAAAGUGCUGGGAUUAAAGGGGCGAGUUACAGCACCAGGACCUGAAAUGUUGGAGUGCAGUGCUGCAGUCACAACUCACCGCAGCCUUGACCUGCUGGGCUCAACUGAUCCUCCCACCUCAGCCGCCUAAGUAUUAUUGAUAGGUUGAAUAAAAGAUACCAGUUUUACACAGA
ensembl:lncRNA PPP1R3B-DT PPP1R3B divergent transcript